AAAAUUGACACCGUAACUUCGGGAGAAGGUGUGCCGCUGGCGGUUAGUGACUUCGCGUCACGAAGCUGUCGGUGGUCGCAGUGAAAUGGCGGUUGUGACUGUUUACUAAAAACACAGGACUCUGCGAAGUCGUAAGACGACGUAUAGGGUCUGAUGCCUGCCCGGUGCUGGAAGGUUAAGGGGAUAUGUCAGCGCAAGCGAAGCAUUGAACCGAAGCCCCAGUAAACGGCGGCCGUAACAAUAACGGUCCUAAGGUAGCGAAAUUCCUUGUCGGGUAAGUUCCGACCUGCACGAGGGCAUAACAACAUCCGCACUGUCUCGACCAGGGACUCAGCGAAAUUACAUUGGGGGUGAAGAUGCCCUCUACCCGCGGAAAGACGGAAAGACCCCAUGAACCUUUACUGCAACUUGGCAGUGAUUUUCGGGUUGUUCUGCGUAGGAUAGGUGGGAGGCUUUGAAGCCGGGCUUCCGGGUUCGGCAGAGCCAACGUUGAAAUACCACCCUGAAUAAUCUGGAAAUCUAACCUGCGCCCAUGAUCUGGGCGAGGGACACUGCCUGGUGGGCAGUUUGACUGGGGCGGUCGCCUCCUAAAUUGUAACGGAGGCGUGCGACGGUUCCCUCAGGCUGAUUGGAAACCAGCCGUAGAGUGCAAACGCAUAAGGGAGCUUUACUGCGAGACUGACAAGUCGAACAGUUGCGAAAGCAGGUGUUAGUGAUCCGGUGGUACCACAUGGAAGGGCCAUCGCUCAUCGGAUAAAAGGUACUCUGGGGAUAACAGGCUGAUCGCGCCUGAGAGUUCACAUCGGCGGCGCGGUUUGGCACCUCGAUGUCGGCUCAUCGCAUCCUGGGGCUGGAGCAGGUCCCAAGGGUUUGGCUGUUCGCCAAUUAAAGCGGUACGCGAGCUGGGUUUAAAACGUCGUGAGACAGUUUGGUCCCUAUCUUCCGUGGGCGCAGGACACUUGAGAGGAGCUAUCCAUAGUACGAGAGGACCUGGAUGGACGAACCUCUGGUGCUCCGGUUGUCACGCCAGUGGCAUAGCCGGGUAGCCAUGUUCGGAACAGAUAACCGCUGAAGGCAUAUAAGCGGGAAGCUGGCCUCAAGACUAGGUGUCCCUGACGCAAGUCACUAAAGGCCCCUCGAAGACUACGAGGUUGAUAGGCUCGGUGUGGAAGCGCUGCGAGGCGUGGAGCUAUCGAGUACUAAUAGGCCGUGCGACUUGACCUA
rnacentral:rRNA from 1 species